UCAGGCCUACGGGGGGCAGCAGUAGGGAAUUUUCGUCAAUGGGCGCAAGCCUGAACGAGCAAUGCCGCGUGAGCGAAGAAGUAUUUCGGUAUGUAAAGCUCUAUCAGCAGGGAAGAAAAAUGACGGUACCUGAGUAAGAAGCACCGGCUAAAUACGUGCCAGCAGCCGCGGUAAUACGUAUGGUGCAAGCGUUAUCCGGAUUUACUGGGUGUAAAGGGAGCGCAGGCGGUGCGGCAAGUCUGAUGUGAAAGCCCGGGGCUCAACCCCGGGACUGCAUUGGAAACUACCGAACUAGAGUGUCGGAG
rnacentral:rRNA from 1 species